GAUGAACGCUGGCGGCGUGCCUAAUACAUGCAAGUCGAGCGAAGCGGGGACGGGUGAGAAACACGUGGAUAACCUCCUAUAAGACUGGGAAAACUUAGGGAAACCGGUGCUAAACCGGAAACUUAUAGAGGGAUCGGUGCUGCAUUAGCUUGUGGGUAAGGUAACGGCUUACCAAGGCAACGAUGCAUAGCCGACCUGAGAGGGUGAGCGGCCACACUGGAACUGAGACACGGUCCAGACUCCUACGGGAGGCAGCAGUAGGGAAUCUUCCGCAAUGGGCGAAAGCCUGACGGAGCAACGCCGCGUGAGUGAUGAAGGUCUUCGGAUCGUAAAACUCUGUUAUUAGGGAAGCGGUACCUAAUCAGAAAGCCACGGCUAACUACGUGCCAGCAGCCGCGGUAAUAC
rnacentral:rRNA from 1 species